GAUGAACGCUGGCGGCGUGCUUAACACAUGCAAGUCGAACGAAGAUGCCGGAGUGCUUGCACUUUGGCAGACUGAGUGGCGGACGGGUGAGUAACGCGUGGGUAACCUGCCUUAUACAGGGGGAUAACAGUUGGAAACGACUGCUAAUACCGCAUAAGCGCACGGUAUCGCAUGAUACAGUGUGAAAAACUCCGGUGGUAUAAGAUGGACCCGCGUCUGAUUAGCUAGUUGGUGAGGUAACGGCCCACCAAGGCGACGAUCAGUAGCCGGCCUGAGAGGGUGAACGGCCACAUUGGGACUGAGACACGGCCCAAAACUCCUACGGGAGGCAGCAGUGGGGAAUAUUGCACAAUGGGGGAAACCCUGAUGCAGCGACGCCGCGUGAGCGAAGAAGUAUUUCGGUAUGUAAAGCUCUAUCAGCAGGAGAAAAAAUGACGGUACCUGACUAAGAAGCCCCGGCUAACUACGUG
rnacentral:rRNA from 1 species